ensembl:lncRNA
GAGAAACAAAGGGACCCAUCAACGCUAGCCCGGACACGCACGCGCUCCAACUUUUUUUUGUUAUCCACCCAGCGGAUGCCACCGCGAGGCGCGAGCUGCUCCACUCUGUCCAGGAUCCUGAGGAAUCGGAUGGUUUGGAAUCGGGUCGGUGUUCCAGACGUGUCCCGUACCAGAUGUUCCGGAAUGGGACAUACCAUCAAUGGACACCAUGGGUGUGUUCUUCAACUUGAUCAGCAGGACCUGAGAUGCCCUCAUGCUGACCUGCAACGAAAGAACCGUACAGGAACCGGAGGUUAAGUAACCAAACACAACGAAAGAUCUGUUAUUGAUCACGAUGUGCACGCCGUGGCUCGUCGAGGAAACAGCAGCGAGGUGGAGGAGGAGGAGGAUUCAUCCUGAGUCACUGAGUGAAACUGAGCCUGUUGAAGAUUGAAGACCUGAGAUGAGUCGAAGCCUCCCGCUGUGAGGUCAGGGGUCACUAUUGAUUACUCGCCCAGCAGGAGCCCACUUGGACAUUUAAGGACUUGUAAGUCGAGUUCCUGUGCUGCUCUCCAGUGGGAUUUUCCACUGAAGCGUGCACCAACAUCGGCAUCAGAUUCUAGUCAACAUGUCUCACCUAAUGACCGUCUCCCGAGAUCAUUCCUCCCUGAAAACCUGCGAGAAAAAUCCCCAACAAAAAAGCCUCACUUCAAAAGCUUGUGGCCAGUGGAACGUUUCUCUGGAACAGAAGUGCUUCUGGCGUCGUCUCUAUCGAAAGAUGUACCAAUUUUUGUACCAAAAAAAAAUUGGUGUACCAUAUCGCUGGUACAAAUGGGCCACGGACUAAUAAAAUCACUCUCGCGUUCACGUAAUAUGUCCUUACAUUCCCAAAAUUUCCCUUGGGGAUCAAUAAAGUACAUUUGUCUGUCUGUCUGUGUACAAUAGUCACUCGCACCAAACCCUGAAUCUCACAUUCCCAUAAAACGCCCUCACGUCGACGUAAAAUGCCGUUGCGUUGACGUAGAAUGCUCUCGCAUUCGCAUAAUUCUCCUACGUUCAUGCGAAUGUUCUCGCGUUCAUGUAAGAUGCUUUCCCGUUCACGUGGAACACUUCCGCACCGACACGAACGUGUUGCUUUCACCGACGUCGACAUAAAAUUCCUUCACGUUUCUGCGAAAGACUUUCGCGUCGAUGUAGAACGCUCUCGCGUCCAUGUAAAACUCUCUACGUGUUCAUGGAGAAUGCGCUCAUUUGCAUAAGACGCCGUUGUCCACUUAAAUCGCUCUUCGAGCCGCUUCGCUUGAAACGGCCUGGCGACGACGUAAAACGCUUCCACGUUCCCACGGGACGCUUGAACUUUUCGGGAACGAGCUCUGCGGCCGCGUUCACAAAGAAAGCUUCUGCACUCACGUAAAGCGCUCUGGCGUCCAUGUAGAAAUGCUCUCGCGUUCACGCAGAAUGCUCACUUUCAUUUAAACUGCUCUCGCAUCCAGGGAAAGUGCGCUGGCUUUGAUGUAGUUGACUUAAAAGCCUUUCACAUAGAACGCUCGCAUUCAUUUGGCUCAAAAUACGUACGAAUAAAUUGAGUAAAUUAGAUGUGCCCCAUUCCGGGGUGUUGGUGUGCGCUGGGUAGUGUAGUGUAGUGUAGUGUAGUGUAGUGUAGCGUGGGCAUAUGUAGGAGAACUCUGACACCUACUGUACUGAACACACACUCCACUCUGAGAGAGUCGUCCGUGUCCUGCGCUUCCUUCUCUCAGUUCUCACAGAGAUUUCGGCCGAGCUUUAACUGCAGUAUCAACCCUAAAAACAGCAGAAGUGAGAGUUUAUAGCAUGGGGCAUGCUGUAGGAUACUACUGUAUAUGAAUAUAUAUAUACAGUGGUUCAUACUGUAUAUACUGUAUCAACCACUGUAUAUUACACAUUACUGGACUAGUGUUACAGGAAGUCAUAGUGGAUUAGAAUGGCCGAGUAUAUUAUAGUAUAUUGCAGUAUAUUA